rnacentral:rRNA from 1 species
UAAACUGAAGAGUUUGAUCAUGGCUCAGAUUGAACGCUGGCGGCAGGCUUAACACAUGCAAGUCGAGCGGGGAAAAGUAGCUUGCUACUUUACCUAGCGGCGGACGGGUGAGUAAUGCUUAGGAAUCUGCCUAUUAGUGGGGGACAACAUCUCGAAAGGGAUGCUAAUACCGCAUACGUCCUACGGGAGAAAGCAGGGGAUCUUCGGACCUUGCGCUAAUAGAUGAGCCUAAGUCGGAUUAGCUAGUUGGUG